UUGGAUUAAUACCUUAUAGUAAUACGACUUGGCAUCAAGAUGUAUUUAAAGAUUUAUCGGUGAAAGAUGAGCAUGCGUCCCAUUAGCUAGUUGGUAUGGUAACGGCAUACCAAGGCUACGAUGGGUAGGGGUCCUGAGAGGGAGAUCCCCCACACUGGUACUGAGACACGGACCAGACUCCUACGGGAGGCAGCAGUGAGGAAUAUUGGACAAUGGGCGCAAGCCUGAUCCAGCCAUGCCGCGUGCAGGAUGACGGUCCUAUGGAUUGUAAACUGCUUUUAUACAGGAAGAAACACCUCUACGUGUAGAGACUUGACGGUACUGUAAGAAUAAGGAUCGGCUAACUCCGUGCCAGCAGCCGCGGUAAUACGGAGGAUCCAAGCGUUAUCCGGAAUCAUUGGGUUUAAAGGGUCCGUAGGCGGUCAGAUAAGUCAGUGGUGAAAGCCCAUCGCUCAACGGUGGAACGGCCAUUGAUACUGUCUGACUUGAAUUAUUAGGAAGUAACUAGAAUAUGUAGUGUAGCGGUGAAAUGCUUAGAGAUUACAUGGAAUACCAAUUGCGAAGGCAGGUUACUACUAAUAUAUUGACGCUGAUGGACGAAAGCGUGGGUAGCGAAC
rnacentral:rRNA from 1 species